GACGAACCGUGCGAACGUUAUUCGGAAUCACUGGGCUUAAAGGGUGCGUAGGCGGGGGGAUAAGUCGAGGGUGAAAGCCUCCAGCUUAACUAGAGAAGUGCCCUCGAUACUGUUUUUCUUGAGAGCGAUAGGGGCACACGGAACUUCCGGUGGAGCGGUGAAAUGCGUAGAUAUCGGAAGGAACGCCGGUGGCGAAAGCGGUGUGCUGGAUCUUUUCUGACGCUGAGGCACAAAAGCUAGGGUAGCGAACGGGAUUAGAUACCCCGGUAGUCCUAACCCUAAACGAUGAGUACUAGAUUGUGGGCUGACAUGGGUUCACAGUCGAAGCAAAAGUAUUAAGUACUCCGCCUGGGGAGUAUGGUCGCAAGGCUG
rnacentral:rRNA from 1 species